UGCAGUAUACUAAGCAUGAUGGGGGAUUAAUUCAAGUACGGUUUAUAAUGAUAUUAACUCCAUGCGGAAUUUGCAUGACUAAUCAAAUUAGUUUUGUCUACAAUUUUGCUUUCCUAUCUCAGUAUAGUCAUUUAAUUGUACAUGACUAAUGCAUAACUUAUGGAUUGACUGAGAAUGACAGAAAGCAUCCAAUGACAAGAAUAAGGGUAUAAUACAAGUGAAUAAGGUUUGUAGUAAUUAUGUGACAAUUCUCAUUUGUAUUUUAACUAUUUAUUUGAGAAUUGUGGUUGGUCAUGUGAUUAUAAAUAUGUUUAUAAAGAAGUGGUGAACAUAUGAAGGCAUAAGGUAUGUAUUUCAUUCAGAGCAUGUGACUAAAUUGAUAAGCAUAAGUCUUCAAACUUGUAUAUAGUUUAUUAGUUUUUCCCAUGCCUAAAGAAUUUAAACAAUGUUUUGAUAAGUCAAUUUUAUGUGCCAUAAGGGGAGAAGAAAAGAAAUUAUUCAAGGCUAAUGUAUGGCAUGUAUUGGAGUUUUUUCUUUUGGAAGAAAAGAAUUUUUGGUUGUUCCUUUACUUAAUUUGGUAUUUACAAGGCUAAUGCACGAUUUUGAUGCUAAUGUUUUAGGAGUCUUUUACUACAGAAAUAAAGGUACAAAAGGAAAGGAACUCGUUUGACUUAAGAGAGCAUUUAAGUGAUAUCACAAUUUGGCUUUUGAAUUAAAAGCGACUAUAUUGUUUAAAGUGUUUCCAUUUUGAAUCUAUUAGCUCCAUCAUGUUUUCUCAUACGUGUUGAUAUCCUUGUGGUGGAAGAUUGAUAUUAUAGCUCUUAUACAACUUGAUCUAUAUGUGAUUAAUCUCCUUUCAAGUAUGUUGUCAGGUUUUUUGAGAUUAAUUGGAUAUCGAAAGGAGUCAUGAAGGCUGGAGAUGAUUAAUGUCUUGUCAACUAAGCAAGCCGUAGCGGCUUAGUUGAUGCUGGGACUAUGGUUUUAAGUUACUUUGAUCAACGUUGCAUCUUAAUUAGAAUAAAAGGGAUAAUCUUCUUGCCCGUAGGUGUGGAUCGUUUCCUUUGUUUUAAUUAAGAUGGCAUAGUAUGAGUUUUAUUUCACAGGAGUUUGUGAAAACUUCAUCUUGCCCGUAGGUGUUGAAGUUUUUUAUGAAGGUAACUCUUGUGACAUAUAAUUCAGUACUAGAAACUAAUUAAUUUUCUUGCCCGUAGGUGUAAAUUAAUCUAGUUUCAUGAAGUUUAUUGGGGAUAAAGUUCCAUGCCAUCAGUUACAAAAUCCCACUAUGAGCCCCAUAAUAGGUUGUGGUUUUAAGGCAUGGAAAUCGGUUGCAUCAUAACAUAUUUUGUGUCUAUUCAUGAGACUUGUUGAUGCAAAGUAUUGGACCCAUGAAGGUUAAUCAAGGAUUGCUAAGUAGAAGUUUGCAUUAAAGAGGACCUGAGAUGAUAAAAGUUGAGACACAUUAAGGUAAUUAAAGUUCAUCUUUGCAAUCAUAAUUUGAUGGUGUUUCAUGUGGAUGAGGAUUUUAGCAUGUGUGAUUAUGAAGGUUUUUGGUUGUGUCAACCUUACAACCUUGUUAGUUCCAUGUUGAAAGACUUAUUUGACAGAAACUUGUAUCAAGGAUAGGAUGUUAUCACAAUUACAUGGCCAUUAAAGUGACAUUAAUCUCCAAUUUCAAGUAUAAACAUAAAUACUAUAUGUGUAGACCAGUGGGAGAAUGUUGGAUUUAUUCCGAUGUAAAUCAACCUUAAAUGGUCUACAACAUAUAAUAGGAAUGUAAUAUUGGAGAUUAAUGUAGAUAUUGUGAUUUAUUUCCUAAAGAUAUCAAUCUUAUAUUAGGUGUCUUGUAAUACAAGUAAGAUUGAUGGAGUCCUUGAUUUUAUGUGAUUAUGAUACCUAACUGAUAGGCUAAAAAGUGGGAUUUGGGAUUCCUUUAUGGAUGGAACCUUAAUGCCUUAGCCA